CAGCCGCGGUAAUACGGAGGGUGCAAGCGUUUAAUCGGAAUUACUGGGCGUAAAGCGCACGCAGGCGGUCUGUCAAGUCGGAUGUGAAAUCCCCGGGCUUAACCUGGGAACUGCAUUCGAAACUGGCAGGCUAGAGUCUUGUAGAGGGGGGUAGAAUUCCAGGUGUAGCGGUGAAAUGCGUAGAGAUCUGGAGGAAUACCGGUGGCGAAGGCGGCCCCCUGGACAAAGACUGACGCUCAGGUGCGAAAGCGUGGGGAGCAAACAGGAUUAGAUACCCUGGUAGUCCACGCCGUAAACGAUGUCGAUUUGGAGGUUGUGCCCUUGAGGCGUGGCUUCCGGAGCUAACGCGUUAAAUCGAC
rnacentral:rRNA from 1 species